rnacentral:rRNA from 1 species
UCUCCUGGAAACGGGUGGUAAUGCCGGAUGCUCCAGUUGAUCGCAUGGUCUUCUGGGAAAGCUUUCGCGGUAUGGGAUGGGGUCGCGUCCUAUCAGCUUGACGGCGGGGUAACGGCCCACCGUGGCUUCGACGGGUAGCCGGCCUGAGAGGGCGACCGGCCACAUUGGGACUGAGAUACGGCCCAGACUCCUACGGGAGGCAGCAGUGGGGAAUAUUGCACAAUGGGCGCAAGCCUGAUGCAGCGACGCCGCGUGAGGGAUGGAGGCCUUCGGGUUGUAAACCUCUUUUAUCGGGGAGCAAGCGUGAGUGAGUUUACCCGUUGAAUAAGCACCGGCUAACUACGUGCCAGCAGCCGCGGUAAUACGUAGGGUGCAAGCGUUAUCCGGAAUUAUUGGGCGUAAAGGGCUCGUAGGCGGUUCGUCGCGUCCGGUGUGAAAGUCCAUCGCUUAACGGUGGAUCCGCGCCGGGUACGGGCGGGCUUGAGUGCGGUAGGGGAGACUGGAAUUCCCGGUGUAACGGUGGAAUGUGUAGAUAUCGG